AAAGUUUUUCGGUGUAGGAUGAGGCUAUAUUGUAUCAGCUAGUUGGUGAGGUAAUGGCUCACCAAGGCUAUGACGCAUAACUGGUCUGAGAGGAUGAUCAGUCACACUGGAACUGAGACACGGUCCAGACUCCUACGGGAGGCAGCAGUAGGGAAUAUUGCUCAAUGGGGGAAACCCUGAAGCAGCAACGCCGCGUGGAGGAUGACACUUUUCGGAGCGUAAACUCCUUUUGUUAGGGAAGAACAAUGACGGUACCUAACGAAUAAGCACCGGCUAACUCCGUGCCAGCAGCCGCGGUAAUACGGAGGGUGCAAGCGUUACUCGGAAUCACUGGGCGUAAAGGACGCGUAGGCGGAUUAUCAAGUCUCUUGUGAAAUCCUAUGGCUUAACCAUAGAACUGCUUGGGAAACUGAUAAUCUAGAGUGAGGGAGAGGCAGAUGGAAUUGGUGGUGUAGGGGUAAAAUCCGUAGAGAUCACCAGGAAUACCCAUUGCGAAGGCGAUCUGCUGGAACUCAACUGACGCUAAUGCGUGAAAGCGUGGGGAGCAAACAGGAUUAGAUACCCUGGUAGUCCACGCCCUAAACGAUGUAUACUAGUUGUUGCUAAGCUAGUCUUGGCAGUAAUGCACCUAACGGAUUAAGUAUACCGCCUGGGGAGUACGGUCGCAAGAUUAAAACUCAAAGGAAUAGACGGGGACCCGCACAAGCGGUGGAGCAUGUGGUUUAAUUCGAAGAUACGCGAAGAACCUUACCCGGACUUGAUAUCUAACAAAUCAUCUAGAGAUAGAAGAGUGUCUGCUCGCAGAAAUGUUAAGACAGGUGCUGCACGGCUGUCGUCAGCUCGUGUCGUGAGAUGUUGGGUUAAGUCCCGCAACGAGCGCAACCCACGUCAUUAGUUGCUAACAGUUCGGCUGAGCACUCUAAUG
rnacentral:rRNA from 1 species